UUAUUGUUAACUCUCAGUGAUUAUUUGUUUUGAUAUAAGCUUAUGCAAGGAGAAAUAAUUCUUGUUACUCAUGUCAUCAUUAUUUCUUCUCUGUGUUGAU